rnacentral:tRNA from 2 species
GCGACACUAGCUCAUCCGGAUAGAGCAACGGCCUUCUAAGCCGUAGGUGGUGGGUUCGAGUCCCGCGUGUCGCG